rnacentral:rRNA from 1 species
GAUCCUGGCUCAGAAUCAACGCUGGCGGCGUGCCUAACACAUGCAAGUCGCACGAGAAAGCGGGCUUCGGCCUGCAAGUACAGUGGCGCACGGGUGAGUAACACGUGAAUCAUCUACCUCCGAGUGGGGAAUAACCUAGGGAAACCUGGGCUAAUACCGCAUAACACUUACGAGUCAAAGCAGCAAUGCGCUUGGAGAGGAGUUCGCGGCAGAUUAGCUAGUUGGUGGGGUAAUGGCCCACCAAGGCGAUGAUCUGUAUCCGGCCUGAGAGGGCGCACGGACACACUGGGACUGAAACACGGUCCAGACUCCUACGGGAGGCAGCAGUGGGGAAUUUUGCGCAAUGGGGGAAACCCUGACGCAGCAACGCCGCGUGGAGGAUGAAAUCCCUUGGGAUGUAAACUCCUUUCGAUCGGGACGAUUAUGACGGUACCGGAAGAAGAAGCCCCGGCUAACUUCGUGCCAGCAGCCGCGGUAAUACGAGGGGGGCAAGCGUUGUUCGGAAUUAUUGGGCGUAAAGGGCGCGUAGGCGGUUUGACAAGUCUGAUGUGAAAUCUCUGGGCUCAACCCAGAGUCUGCAUUAGAAACUGUCGGGCUUGAGUAUGGGAGAGGUGAGUGGAAUUUCCCGGUGUAGCGGUGAAAUGCGUAGAUAUCGGAAGGAACACCUGUGGCGAAAGCGGCUCACUGGAC